rnacentral:rRNA from 1 species
CGGCGAACGGGUGAGUAACGCGUGGGUAACCUGCCUCAUACAGGGGGAUAACAGUUGGAAACGGCUGCUAAUACCGCAUAAGCGCACAGUACCGCAUGGUACGGUGUGAAAAACUCCGGUGGUAUGAGAUGGACCCGCGUCUGAUUAGGUAGUUGGUGGGGUAACGGCCUACCAAGCCGACGAUCAGUAGCCGACCUGAGAGGGUGACCGGCCACAUUGGGACUGAGACACGGCCCAA